UACGUAGGGGGCCAGCGUUGUCCGGAAUCAUUGGGCGUAAAGCGCGCGUAGGCGGUCAGGUAAGUCCGGUGUGAAAGUCAAAGGCUCAACCUUUGAAUGCCGCUGGAUACUGCUUGACUUGAGUCCGGAAGGGGCGAGUGGAAUUCCUGGUGUAGCGGUGAAAUGCGCAGAUAUCGGGAGGAACACCAGUGGCGAAGGCGGCUUCCUGGACCGGUUCUGACACUGAGGAGCGAAAGCGUGGGGAGCGAACAGG
rnacentral:rRNA from 1 species